AUGCAGGUUAACCAAAUAGGGCCAUCGCACACAUGUGUUUCAAGUAGCAGGCUAACUUCGACAAUGGCCUCACAGGAUUGGGUUCAAGAAAGUUCUAAGAAAAUAAUGAGGAAAACUCCAAAUAUAGGUUGCAAGGAUUUACAAGAAACGUUGGAGGAAGACUGGAAUGUAACCACUAGCUAUGACACUGUAUGGAAGGGGAUGCAGAGAGCAAAGGAUGAGAUAUAUGGUUCGUGGGGUAGUAGCUUCCGGUACCUAUUCAAUUUCAAAGCAGAGAUAGAACUGAGAUCUCCUGGAACCAUUGUUGAGGUUGACACUAAACUAAAGGACGCUAAUGUUUACUUCAUAUAUUCUUUGUGGCACCUAAGCCUUGUGUUAAUGGGUUCCAUGCUAGAUGUAGGCCUUUUCUUAGCAUAG
rnacentral:rRNA from 1 species